rnacentral:misc_RNA from 1 species
AGAUCAACUUUCACAAAAUUGGUUUGAGGCAACUUACAUCUGCCAAGGACAUCAAUCUGUAGUCUGUUGUACAAUGGACAUGAUCAUUCAUUCAGAUAAGAGAUGUGAACGCGAUGUUUGAUCAUUUUUUUAGACGUGACACUUUCUUUGAGUAGUCUUCUUCAUCGUCAUCCUGAUCAUUUUUAGACGAAGCGAUCUUUGAUUAGUUGUCUUCGUUCCCUUGCCUUCCUGAUCACUUUUAGAUGCGCAAGUGCUCUUUGAUUAGU